AACGAACGCUGGCGGCAUGCCUAACACAUGCAAGUCGAACGAGACUUUCGGGUCUAGUGGCGCACGGGUGCGUAACGCGUGGGAACCUGCCCUUAGGUUCGGAAUAACUCCCCGAAAGGGGUGCUAAUACCGGAUAAUGUCUUCGGACCAAAGAUUUAUCGCCUUUGGAUGGGCCCGCGUUGGAUUAGCUAGUUGGUAGGGUAAAAGCCUACCAAGGCCACGAUCCAUAGCUGGUCUGAGAGGAUGAUCAGCCACACUGGGACUGAGACACGGCCCAGACUCCUACGGGAGGCAGCAGUGGGGAAUAUUGGACAAUGGGCGAAAGCCUGAUCCAGCAAUGCCGCGUGAGUGAUGAAGGCCUUAGGGUUGUAAAGCUCUUUUACCCGGGAUGAUAAUGACAGUACCGGGAGAAUAAGCUCCGGCUAACUCCGUG
rnacentral:rRNA from 1 species